UAAAUAUAAGCACGAAAAAUUUUGAUUUUUUAAGAGGUGGUUAGGGUCCAUUAUAUAUAA
rnacentral:tRNA from 1 species